rnacentral:rRNA from 1 species
CCUACGGGAGGCAGCAGUGGGGGAUAUUGCACAAUGGGGGAAACCCUGAUGCAGCGACGCCGCGUGUGGGAAGACGGUCCUCUGGAUUGUAAACCACUGUCCCCAGGGACGAAGAUGACGUUACCUGGGGAGGACGCUCCGGCUAACUACGUGCCAGCAGCCGCGGUAAUACGUAGGGAGCGAGCGUUGUCCGGAAUUACUGGGUGGAAAGGGAGCGUAGGCGGGACUGCAAGUUGGGUGUAAAAUCUACCGGCUCAACCGGUAGCCGCACUCAAAACUGCAGUUCUGGAGUGAAGUAGAGGUAGGCGGAAUUCCUAGUGUAGCGGUGAAAUGCGUAGAUAUUAGGAGGAACACCAGUGGCGAAGGCGACCUGCUGGGCUGUUACUGACGCUGAGGCUCGAAAGUGUGGGGAGCAAACAGGAUUAGAUACCCUUGUAGUC